UGCCUAGGCUCUCGGAGGCGAAGAAGGACGCGAUAAGCCGCGAUAGUCCACGGCGAGGUGCAAGUAACCCUUGACCCGUGGGUUUCCGAAUGGGGCAACCCGGCCGUCUAGAUGACGGUCAUGCAUUAUCAUGCAGGCGAACGCGGGGAACUGAAACAUCUCAUUACCCGCAGGAGAAGAAAACAAAAUGUGAUUCCCCCAGUAGUGGCGAGCGAACGGGGAAGAGCCCAAACCGCUGCCGUUUCGGCGACAGCGGGGUCAUGGGACCGCGAGAUUCGACGGAAGACGAAGUGCAAUUACCUGGAAAGGUAAGCCGUGGAGGGUGACAGCCCCGUGCACGACACCUCUUUCUUAGAUAGCGGUAUCCCGAGUAGGGCGGGACACGAGAAAUCCUGCCUGAAUUCGCCAGGACCUCCUGGCAAGGCUAAAUACUCCCGAGAGACCGAUAGUGAACCAGUACCGCGAGGGAAAGGUGAAAAGUACCCCGAGCAGGGGGGUGAAAUAGACCCUGAACCCGCGCGCCUACAAGCGGUCGGAGCCGAGUAAUUCGGUGACGGCGUGCCUUUUGCAUAAUGAGCCUACGAGUUAGUCGUCACCAGCGAGGUUAAGGGCUUCAGGCCCGUUAGCCGAAGUGAAAGCGAGCCUUAACAGGGCGUAAAGUUGGUGGCGCUAGACGCGAAACCUUGUGAUCUACCCACGAGCAGGUUGAAGUCGCGGUAACACGUGAUGGAGGACCGAACCGGUAAACGUUGAAAAGUUUUCGGAUGACUCGCGGGUAGGGGUGAAAGGCCAAUCAAACUGGGAAAUAGCUCGUACUCUCCGAAAUGCAUUUCGGUGCAGCCUGUGAUGUUCUGUUCCAGAGGUAGAGCUACUGGUUGGACGCGAGGGCUUCACCGCCUAUCAAAUCCGGAUAAACUCCGAAUGCUGGAACACGAAAUCAUGGAGUGAGCCCGCGGGUGCUAAGGUCCGCGGACGAGAGGGAAAGAACCCGGACCACCGGCUAAGGUCCCGGAUGGACAGUUAAGUUGAUCAAACGAGGUGGGAUCGCGGAGACAGCUAGGAUGUUGGCUUGGAAGCAGCCAUUCAUUUAAAGAGUGCGUAACAGCUCACUAGUCGAGCGAUCCCGCGUGGAUAAUACACGGGCAUAAAACUGUCAACCGAAGCCGUGGGGUUAGCUUUAUUGCUAACCGGUAGGAGAGCAUUCCUGCCAGCUUUGAAGGUCACCCGCGAGAGUGACUGGAGCGGCAUGAAAAGCAAAUGUAGGCAUAAGUAACGAUAAUGGGGGCGAGAACCCCCCACGCCGCAAGACCAAGGCUUCCCCGGCAAUGUCAAUCAGCCGGGGGUCAGCCGGCCUCUAAGGCUAACCCGAAGGGGGACGCCGACGAGAAACGGGUUAACAUUCCCGUGCUUCUCGUCACCGUGACGCGGUGACGGGGUGAUGAAUGGACCGCGCGCUGACGGAAUAGCGCGUUGAAGGCCGUACCCUGUGACGGUGGUAGUCAAGCACGCCACCGGAGGCGAAAGUCGAUAGUACCUCGAGGCCUCGGCCGAGGGGAUAGCGUCCAGGCAAUUUACCCCCUAGAAAACCCGCUAAACUUCAAGUGACGAGGAACCGUACCGUAAACGGACACACGUGGUCGGGUAGAACAUACCAAGGCGCUCGAGUGAUUCAUGGUCAAGGAACUAGGCAAAAUAGUCCUGUAACUUAGGGAUAAAGGACGCUCUAGUGAUAGAGCCGCAGAGAAAUGGCCCAGGCGACUGUUUACCAAAAACACAUGGCUAUGCCAAAUCGAAAGAUGACGUAUAUGGCCUGACACCUGCCCGGUGCCGGAAGGUUAAGAGGAGAGCUCAUCAGUAAUGAGAAGGUUUGAAUUGAAGCCCCGGUAAACGGCGGCCGUAACUAUAACGGUCCUAAGGUAGCGAAAUUCCUUGUCGGGUAAGUUCCGACCUGCACGAAUGGUGUAACGAUCUGGGCACUGUCUCGACCAUGAGCUCGGUGAAAUUGUAGUUCCGGUGAAGAUGCCGGGUACCCGCGACGGGACGGAAAGACCCCGUGAACCUUUACUGCAGCUUCGCGUUGUUCCCGGGCACGGGACGUGUAGGAUAGGUCGGAGGCUUUGAAGCGGAUUCGCCAGGAUUCGUGGAGCCAUCGUUGAAAUACGACCCUUCUCUUGUCUGGGAUCUAACCCU
rnacentral:rRNA from 1 species